rnacentral:rRNA from 1 species
CCAAUAGCGUAUAUUAAAGUUGUUGCAGUUAAAAAGCUCGUAGUUGAACUUCGGGGUCUACCCAUUGGUCAGGCUUAAUUGUCUGUACUGGUGAGAUGGAUCUCUACCUUCUGAGGAACUUUCAUGCCAUUUAUUUGGUGUGGUUGGAAAUCAGGACUGUUACUUUGAAAAAAUUAGAGUGUUUAAAGCAGACUAUCGUCUGAAUACAUUAGCAUGGAAUAAUGAAAUAGGACGGACUGAUUCUAUUUCGUUGGUUUCUAGGAUCACCGUAAUGAUUAAUAGGGAUAGUUGGGGGCAUUAGUAUUCAAUUGUCAGAGGUGAAAUUCUUGGAUUUAUUGAAGACUAACUACUGCGAAAGCAUUUGCCAAGGAUGUUUUCAUUAAUCAAGAACGAAAGUUAGGGGAUCGAGGACGAUCAGAUACCGUCGUAGUCUUAACCAUAAACUAUGCCGACUAGGGAUCGGACGAAGUUAAUUUUAUAAUGACGCGUUCGGCACCUUACG